rnacentral:misc_RNA from 1 species
AAGAAUUCAAUUGAACGAUCACGUUUUCUUCUUUCCGACGUAGAAUUGAUCAAAAGAAAUCUAUUGAGUUUAAUUCUUUGUAAAAUUCUAAGUUUGAUUCCAAACAAACAAGGGAUUAUGAAUGAAAUGAAUCUUGGCCGCCUCUCCCCUCCCCAAUACAUAAAUUUCUCUGCUCUGCCUCUGCUCAUUGCUUCAGAAAAAUGUCGGAGUUAUUCUCUACUCUUUUCUUUGGGGAUAACCCAGAAUUUGAGGAUUUUCUCGCUCAAGAUCUUGAGGGUUUCUUGGGGCAACGAGCAAGUUCCCACGAGUCCCCCCCUGAUUUGCUCUUACCGUUACUGGUUUUGAUGGGCGACGAAGAUGAUGCUUCGAUGAUGACAGAGUUAGCAACUGAUGAUGGUGGUCCACAGACACAGCCUGCGAGUGCCGAGUUCGUUGAACGGCUGGAGACGGUCAAAAUCGAAGAAUCGGGUUUGGAGUGUUCGAUUUGCUUGGAUAAAUUGUCGAUAGGGUCGGAAGGUAGGCGGUUGCCAUGCUCGCAUCUUUACCAUGGCAAUUGCAUCGAGGAGUGGCUGAAGAAGAGCAAGACAUGCCCUUUAUGUCAAGCAAGUUGAUCGAUCGUUGGAAAGAUUCAUUGGAUGUUAAUGGUUACUUCUAACUGAUUAAUUUCUCGUAAUGGUCUUUCUUUGGCUUUGGGGCAGAGAUGAAAAGAUUAAUUAUUUCAAGAAUUUUAUCAGUGAUCAGUUUAAUUGAUGAUUUGUUAAAAAAGAUAUUUGAAAAUACUUUCUUUAUUAUUAUUUCGUAGCAGAGACAACUUCUUCAUCAAGAGAACCUGUGGGCAAAAGACUUGGAUUCCAGGCGAAGCAAACUAUUCGGAUGUCAAGAAUAUUACCGGGCCAUUACAACAGGGCACAGGGCAAUGUACAAUUUUAUUUUUUAGGUAGAAUUUGAGAACUACGUGGACCUUAUCUUCCAUUUUAUAUUGUAAGGAGCUAGUUAUACAUCCAAUUUUGCCUCAUGCCCAUGACUUGGCACUAAAAACAACUGUUGCUCUGCUGGUAUCUGUUCAUAUGAAUAUCUAAAGAGAAGGUGUACCAGUGAGAUUUACAAUGCAACCCUGCUUUUUGUUGAAGUGCUGAUGUUAAUCAGAAGCUAGGAAUUUGUAUCUAUUGUUCGGUAACAGCCAAUGCUCUUGGGGUUGCAAUUGCGAAUUCAAUUCAUAAGCAGGUCAUAUUUUUUUUUACUGACACUUGUUUUAGUUUGCGUUCAUUGAUUAUAGUGGAGGAAUCUGAGUCAUUGUCCUUUUUCUCAAUUCUUGUCAGUAUGGAGUAGAAUUUGUAGCUGAGCAUGUCCUUCCACUACUUUUCCCUCUUCUCACUGCCCCACAAUUAAAUGUUCAGCAGUUUGC